rnacentral:rRNA from 1 species
AUUGAACGCUGGCGGCAGGCCUAACACAUGCAAGUCGAGCGGUAGCACAGAGAGCUUGCUCUCGGGUGACGAGCGGCGGACGGGUGAGUAAUGUCUGGGAAACUGCCCGAUGGAGGGGGAUAACUACUGGAAACGGUAGCUAAUACCGCAUAACGUCGCAAGACCAAAGAGGGGAACCUUCGGGCCUCUUGCCAUCGGAUGUGCCCAGAUGGGAUUAGCUAGUAGGUGGGGUAACGGCUCACCUAGGCGACGAUCCCUAGCUGGUCUGAGAGGAUGACCAGCCACACUGGAACUGAGACACGGUCCAGACUCCUACGGGAGGCAGCAGUGGGGAAUAUUGCACAAUGGGCGCAAGCCUGAUGCAGCCAUGCCGCGUGUAUGAAGAAGGCCUUCGGGUUGUAAAGUACUUUCAGCGGGGAGGAAGGCGAUAAGGUUAAUAACCUUGUCGAUUGACGUUACCCGCAGAAGAAGCACCGGCUAACUCCGUGCCAGCAGCCGCGGUAAAAC